CGGGACGGGUGAGUAGUGUCUGGGAAACUGCCUGAUGGAGGGGGAUAACUACUGGAAACGGUAGCUAAUACCGCAUAACGUCGCAAGACCAAAGAGGGGGACCUUCGGGCCUCUUGCCAUCGGAUGUGCCCAGAUGGGAUUAGCUAGUAGGUGGGGUAACGGCUCACCUAGGCGACGAUCCCUAGCUGGUCUGAGAGGAUGACCAGCCACACUGGAACUGAGACACGGUCCAG
rnacentral:rRNA from 1 species